rnacentral:tRNA from 1 species
UGCGGGUGUGGCGGAAUUGGCAGACGCGCUAGGUUGAGGGCCUAGUUGGAGAAAUUCAGUGGAGGUUCAAAUCCUCUCGCCCGCAG